rnacentral:rRNA from 1 species
AGAAUCAACGCUGGCGGCGUGCCUAACACAUGCAAGUCGAACGAGAAAGGGUAGCAAUACCUGAGUAAAGUGGCGCACGGGUGAGUAACACGUGACUAACCUACCUUUUAGUGGGGGGAUAACCUAGGGAAACCUGGGCUAAUACCGCAUAAUACCUACGGGUCAAAGCAGCAAUGCGCUGGAAGAGGGGGUCGCGGUCGAUUAGUUAGUUGGCAGGGUAAUGGCCUACCAAGACAGUGAUCGAUAUCCGGCCUGAGAGGGCGCACGGACACACUGGAACUGAAACACGGUCCAGACUCCUACGGGAGGCAGCAGUGGGAAUUUUGCGCAAUGGGGGAAACCCUGACGCAGCAACGCCGCGUGGAGGAUGAAGUCCCUUGGGACGUAAACUCCUUUCGAUCGGGACGAUAAUGACGGUACCGGAAGAAGAAGCCCGGCUAACUUCGUGCCAGCAGCCGC